GACAGAGGGUGCAAACGUUGUUCGGAAUUACUGGGCGUAAAGCGCGUGUAGGCGGCUAUGUAAGUCGGGCGUGAAAUCCCACGGCUCAACCGUGGAAGUGCACUCGAAACUGCAUAGCUAGAGUCCUGGAGAGGAAGGUGGAAUGCUUGGUGUAGAGGUGAAAUUCGUAGAUAUCAAGCGGAACACCGGUGGCGAAGGCGGCCUUCUGGACAGUGACGUGACGCUGAGACGCGAAAGCGUGGGGAGCAAACAGGG
rnacentral:rRNA from 1 species